CAGUAGCCGCGGGAAUACAGAGGGUGCAAGCGUUAAUCGGAAUUACUGGGCGUAAAGCGCGCGUAGGUGGUUUGUUAAGUUGGAUGUGAAAUCCCCGGGCUCAACCUGGGAACUGCAUCCAAAACUGGCAGGCUAGAGUAGGGCAGAGGGUGGUGGAAUUUCCUGUGUAGCGGUGAAAUGCGUAGAUAUAGGAAGGAACACCAGUGGCGAAGGCGACCACCUGGGCUCAUACUGACACUGAGGUGCGAAAGCGUGGGGAGCAAACAGGAUUAGAUACCCCAGUAGUCCCUGUCUCUUAUAC
rnacentral:rRNA from 1 species